rnacentral:rRNA from 1 species
UGAGGAAUAUUGCUCAAUGGGCGAAAGCCUGAAGCAGCAACGCCGCGUGCGCGAUGAAGGCCUUCGGGUCGUAAAGCGCUUUUGAGAGGGACGAGAUAGGACGGUACCUCUGGAAUAAGUCACGGCUAACUACGUGCCAGCAGCCGCGGUAAAACGUAGGUGGCAAGCGUUAUCCGGAUUCAUUGGGCGUAAAGCGCGUGCAGGUGGCUUCGUAAGUUGGACGUUAAAUUUCCCGGCCUAACCGGGAGGGGUCGUUCAAUACUGCGGGGCAGGAGGGCAGAAGAGGGGGGUGGAAUUGCUGGUGUAGUGGUGAAAUGCGUAGAUAUCAGCAGGAACACCUGUGGCGAAAGCGGCCCCCUGGUCUGCUCCUGACACUCAGACGCGAAAGCUAGGGGAGUGAACGGGAUUAGAAACCCCGGUAAUCCUAGCCGUAAACGAUGGAUGCUAGGUGUGGGUGCUAUUGACCCCAUCCGUGCCGAAGCCAACGCGUUAAGCAUCCCGCCUGGGG